rnacentral:rRNA from 1 species
UACAGAGGUGGCAAGCGUUGUCCGGAAUUACUGGGCGUAAAGCGCGCGUAGGCGGAUCUGCAAGUCGGGGGUGAAAUCCCGAGGCUCAACCUCGGAACUGCCUUCGAUACUGCGGGUCUCGAGUCCGGGAGAGGUGAGUGGAAUUCCUAGUGUAGAGGUGAAAUUCGUAGAUAUUGGGAGGAACACCAGUGGCGAAGGCGGCUCACUGGACUGGUACUGACGCUGAUGCGCGAAAGCGUGGGGAGCAAACAGG